UGCUUAGGCGGAAUGAUAAGUUAGUGGUGAAAGCCCCCGGCUCAACCGGGGAACUGCCAUUAAUACUGUCAUUCUUGAGUAUAGUUGAAGUGGGCGGAAUGUAUCAUGUAGCGGUGAAAUGCUUAGAUAUGAUACAGAACACCGAUAGCGUAGGCAGCUUGCUAAACUAUAACUGACGCUCAGGCACGAAAGCGUGGGGAGCAAACAGGAUUAGAUACCCUGGUAGUCC
rnacentral:rRNA from 1 species